AUGAAAUAAAAGAAUAGAAAAAGAGAAAGAAGAACAGAAAAGAAACAGAGAAAGAGACGAAAACAGGGGAAGAAAAAGGGAAAAUAAAAGAAAGGGGGAAAAUUGAGAUUUUGAAGCUUGAAGUUUAAUAGCUAACAAGGAAAACGAGGCAUCGGCAUCCAAAGGAAAAGAAAAGAUUGUUGAGGAGUAAACGCGUAUUCCGGAUUUGUUGUAGAAGUCAAGUACUGAUCCAGCAUCCAAAACUAGACCCGACUUCAGCAAAUUUUGGUGAUGUAUAUUUUCUUUUGGUAAUGCAGGAAACUAGGACUCAGAAUGGCAUUAGAGGAACCUCGGACAGCUUGUUUUUUUUUUUUUUAAGUUUCCAUUAAAGUUUCCAUUAAUUAUUUUUGGGUUGUAAUUAUUAAUUAUUUAUUGCUUUUAUAUCUUAAAGAUUGUUUAGCUUGUUAAUUUUAAGCAUGAUACUUAGUUAAUACUAUGAUAAUUGCAAAGUA